AAGUCGUAACAAGGUUUCCGUAGGUAGCAUGUUUGCCUGCCGGAAGCCCCCGCAGCGACUCUAAAGAAUUGCGUUAGUCGCCCCUCGAUUCGGGGCAGGCAACGCCAUCACUCUGCGCUGGAAGUCCCCCAUUCGGGGCCAACCAGCAGCUCCGGAGACCCCUGCGGAGUUCACAGAUCAAACGAUAGCGGCCACCUCGGUGGUUGAGAUAUGGUCGGCCUUUAGCUGUCCCCGGCUGGAGAACUCGCAGAACCUGCGGAAGGAUCAUUACCGAGAGAGGGGCUUCGCGCUCCCGGGGGCUCCGGCCCCCAACUCUUCACCCACUGUUUACCUACCUUUGUUGCUUUGACGGGCCACGGGGCCUUCCUGCGCUGGCUUUCGGGCCGGCGAGUGCCCGUCAGAGGCCCAUUAAAUUCCGUUUAAUAAGUGACGUCCGAGUAAAAAUUACAAUAGUAAAAA
rnacentral:misc_RNA from 1 species